GAUGAAGAACGUAGCGAAAUGCGAUAAGUAAUGUGAAUUGCAGAGUUCAGUGAAUCAUCGAAUCUUUGAACGCACAUUGCGCCCGCCAGCAUUCUGGCGGGCAUGCCUGUUCGAGCGUCAUUUCAACCCUCGACCUCCCUUUGGGGAAGUCGGCGUUGGGGACCGGCAGCACACCGCCGGCCCUGAAAUGGAGUGGCGGCCCGUCCGCGGCGACCUCUGCGUAGUAAUCCAACUCGCACCGGAACCCCGACGCGGCCACGCCGUAAAACACCCAACUUCUGAACGUUGACCUCGAAUCAGGUAGGACUACCCGCUGAACUUAAGCAUAUCAUAAGCGGAGGA
rnacentral:misc_RNA from 1 species